UCUGCUGCCUCUGUGAGUCUAUAAUCUCUUCUUCUAAUUUCUCUUCUCUCUGCAGCUUUCGCUAUUGAUAAAACUCCCUCCGUUGCUGAAGGUGAAGUUGGAGUUGUGUUGUGGUAGUUUUGGUGUGGGAAAUGGCUGCAGUUAUGAAUGAAACAGCAGGAGUGGGAAGGUCUUUGGAAGGAGUAUCUAGUGCUCAGCAGCUUUAUCAGUCUGGUGAAGCACUUGCAGAAUGGAGGUCUUCUGAGCAGGUGGAGAAUGGAAUUCCCUCAACAUCACCACCUUAUUGGGACAGUGAUGAUGAUGAAGACAACGGUGGACCCAAGCCUUCUGAACUAUAUGGAAAAUAUACAUGGAAGAUUGAUAAGUUUUCACAAAUUAACAAGAGAGAACUUCGGAGUAAUGCAUUUGAGGUUGGCAGCUAUAAAUGGUAUAUUUUAAUUUACCCCCAGGGGUGUGAUGUCUGCAAUCAUCUCUCUCUGUUUCUUUGUGUGGCUAAUCAUGACAAGCUUCUUCCAGGAUGGAGUCAUUUUGCACAAUUCACGAUAGCAGUGGUGAAUAAAGAUCCUAAGAAGUCCAAAUAUUCAGAUACCUUACAUCGCUUCUGGAAGAAAGAACACGAUUGGGGCUGGAAAAAAUUUAUGGAACUGUCAAAAGUUCUGGAUGGAUUUAUUGAUGCUGACACAUUGAUAAUUAAAGCUCAAGUCCAAGUUAUAAGGGAGAGAGCUGAUCGUCCCUUUCGUUGUCUUGACCGUCACUACCGGCGAGAACUUGUUAGGGUCUAUUUAACUAAUGUGGAGCAAAUCUGCCGCCGUUUUGUAGAAGAACGACGAAGCAAACUUGGAAAAUUGAUAGAGGAUAAAGCUAGAUGGUCAGGUUUCUGUGCUUUCUGGCUGGGGAUGGACCAAAGUUCCAGACGUCGCAUGUCAAAGGAGAAAAUGGAUGCAAUAUUGAAAGUUGUUGUAAAGCACUUCUUUGUAGAAAAAGAAGUCACAUCUACUUUGGUAAUGGACUCCUUGUACAGUGGGCUCAGGGCCCUAGAGGGUCAGUAUAAGGGCAAGAAAGGUAAGGGCAAACAUAUAGAUUCAGAGGAACAACCAGCGCCUAUAGUACGUAUGGAAAAAGACAUGUUUAUCUUGGUGGAUGAUGUGCUUUUAUUACUUGAGAGGGCUUCCCUGGAGCCACUGCCUCCUAAGGAUGAGAAAGGUCCUCAGAACCGUACCAAGGAUGGAGCUUCUGGAGAGGAUUUCAACAAAGACUCCAUCGAGCGUGAUGAAAGACGCCUUACUGAACUGGGUCGUAGGACCAUUGAAAUAUUUGUCCUGGCACAUAUUUUCAGUAAAAUAGAGAUUUCUUAUCAAGAAGCUGUUGCUUUAAAAAGGCAAGAGGAACUCAUUCGUGAGGAGGAGGCGGCGGCAUGGAUGGCUGAGACUGAGCUCAAAACAAAACGUGGAGCAUCUGAAAAGGAGAAAAAAUCAAAGAAAAAGCAGGGCAAACAGAAACGCAACAAUCGCAAAGUAAAGGAUAAACUGAGGGAUGAAAAGCCUGGUGUCUUGUGGCAAGACAAGACUGAAGAGGAGCCAUUAAAUGGUGAGGGGAAGGACUACUUCACUGAGGAGCCAGAAAGUAUACCUGAAAAACCUGAUAUAUUAGAAGAAGUUUCAGACAUCUCUGAUUCAGUCGACUGUGUUCCUGAAGUACUUAAUCGUGAAUCAGAAGACAGAGAUGUGAGCCCUGUCAAUUGGGAUACUGACACGUUAGAAAAUCCUCCCGUAGAAAGCAGCUGCAGUGAAUUAAGUGGCUUUGCAUCUGCGCAGAAUGGAGUGGCUGGGAGGAGAAGCCUUUCUGCAAUGGAUGAUAGUUCAUCAACCUGCUCAACAGACUCAACUCCCUCAGUUAUGAAUGGGCAUUAUGGAGGAAAUGCUUCAGAUCAUAAAAACCAAAUAUCACCCGGCAGAGAGAAGAACCAUCGAGCCAAAUCAGCUUGUAAUACAGCUAGGGCGAAUGAAAUGCAAAGUCGGCAAUUAGACAGUGUUUCUAAUGUAGCCAUACUGAGUGAUACAAGUGGGAGUUGCAAGGCAAUACCUGAAUCUCAGGCUACUUUUCUUUCCUCACCUGAGCAGCAUGUUGUGAAGAAGGAAAAAGUCAUUUCUCAGGAAAGAAAGCUCGAUAGAACUGAUGUGGAGGGACCCUCAAUGUACAAGACAAGUGUGCUGUCUCCUCCCAGGAGUCCUCCCAAGGAAGUCGCGUCAACACUUCAGUCAAAGUCAAAGAUCCUGCCUUCUACUGUUUCUGUUACAGUCAAAAACCCAUCUCCAGAUAUCCCCAAGCUGACCGAUAAAUUAGCCAAAUCAGCAAUGCACCCGGAAAGUGUAGUAGCAAAGACAGAUAGUAAUAGAUCUCUUGAUGCACAAGUUAUCAAAAAAUCUUCUUCUACUCAGCAAGUUCCUAUUGCAGCAGAUGGGCCCUCAGCACAUCAAGUUCCUACUACCACCAGUGACUUGUCCUGUUCACAAAUGCCUGCCACCUCAAGGUCCUUGAGUGCUCCAAUAGUUACUGGACCUAGGCCAACUGCUCCUGUUGUCUCCAAUGUUCAGACAUCACUGCAUCUGACACGUUCAGUGAGUGCAACUGGUCGCUUAGGUCCUGACCCUUCACCAGCAACACACAGUUAUCUUCCUCAAUCCUAUCGAAAUGCAAUGAUGGGUUCUCCAGUAACUGGUAGUUUGGGUGGUUUUAGUCAACCUCAUUCCCCUAGUUCAACAAACUCCUCGCACUCGUACUCUGAACCACCUGCUAUGAUUUCCAGGCCAGUGUUCCUGCCACAGGGGCCAAAAAGAACAGAACCAAGCUCAAUUAGACCAAGCUUUUCAUAUGAAAUGGUGAAUCAUGAUUUGUUGCAGAAUGGAUCCCAGUGGAUGGAGUGCUCACAAAGGGAUGGUAGGAGUGCAACCCAUGAUGGUCCUUCUGUAAUAGAUAGCAUUCGGAAUUUUGACAUGUACAAGCCGUCAAACAGUCAAACCCAUGAUAUUUCAGCUCAGUCGCUAGCAUGCACAUCUGGACGUCCGUCCCAGAGUGUACUGGCAGAUGAAUUUCCUCAUCUUGACAUUAUUAAUGACCUGCUGGAUGAUGAUCUUGGAAUUGGGAUGGCUUCUGGACUGGAUCCAAGCUUUCAAAGUUUUAGCAAUGGUCCUCACCAUCAUCUAGCUCGGCAUUUCACCUUCCCAGGUGAUGUUGGUUCAGCUGACCUAGGUCCAUCUACUAGCUCUUGUAGGUUAGAGCGGACACUGAGCUAUCAUGAUAAUGGGUUCCUACAUAGGUAUCCAGGGGGAGGCCAUUUUGAUACUGGUAGAGAUAUGAUAGCGCAGCCUAGUCCACAAAGUUAUGUGAAUGGGCAGAUGGAUGGAAUAAUUCCUAGCCAAUGGCAGAUGGUUGCUUCUGAUGCAUCUUACCUUGGAAUGAGGAGUGCUGAUAGUGAUGUUGGCUACCCGUAUCAUGUCCCUGAUUAUUCAAACAUGGCAUGUGGUUUCAAUGGUUAUACAAUGUUCCGGCCUUCAAAUGGGCUCUGAAGGAGGGUGGGUCUUAUGCAGCUUUGCCUAGGAAUGAAUAUAUGGGCUGGUGUCCCCAUUGUGAUAAAAGAAUGCUUUGGUCUUAGAUUUGGAGUGAAGUGUCACCCUAAAAAGGGGUGUGAGUUAUAUUGAAGAUGAUGGUAUGGUUUACUAAUGCAUGAGUAAUGUGAAACUUGAUAAGGAAAAGUGGAGAUAUGACAGCCUGUAAACGUAGCCUUAAUGAUUUGCAGUACACGUUGAAUUCAUGCUCCACACUACUCUUCCAUUGUUUCAACGGUUGCAGAAUCAACAAGUAAAGAAGAAGAAGAUAGGAAAUGGUGACCUCCCUUUGUGUAUUAUAUUAAAUUAAGUCCAAGAAAUGGCAAAACAGUAUGCCAGAACAAAAAGUGAAAGUCUAAUUGCUGUUCAAUGCUUACAGGGCACUCUCGCAUUGCACAUUAUUCCCUCACUCAAAUAAGUCUGUUGCUUUAUGUA